GUGGAUUCUGUAAACACUAAGCUUUUAGUACUGUUUUGUUAAUUUUUUCCUCCAUAGCUGGCUAUGUUAAAGCUGUCAUGAUUGGAGUGUCUAUUGGUGUUGGAUCUCUUGCUUUUGGUUGUUGCAUUGUAAUUGCUUUGCACUUCUUAAAGGCCCAUGCAAGGAAGAGAGCAGUCUACCGUCAUGUUCGUCUUACUAAUCCUGUCACUGAUGAUCCAGUUUAGUGAAGGCAGUUUAAACUCUUUUCCUUUUGAUAAUCAUAUUACACAUCAUUAUUAUUUUAAUACUUUUUUAUAUUUUUGAUCUGUAAUCCUUUUUGCCUGUAAA